CCUACGGGAGGCUGCAGUGGGGAAUAUUGGACAAUGGGCGAAAGCCUGAUCCAGCCAUGCCGCGUGUGUGAAGAAGGCCUUCGGGUUGUAAAGCACUUUCAGUGGGGAAGAAAGCCUUGGGGCUAAUACCCUCGAGGAAGGACAUCACCCACAGAAGAAGCACCGGCUAACUCCGUGCCAGCAGCCGCGGUAAUACGGAGGGUGCGAGCGUUAAUCGGAAUUACUGGGCGUAAAGCGCGCGUAGGGCGGUCUGAUAAGCCGGUUGUGAAAGCCCCGGGCUCAACCUGGGAACGGCAUCCGGAACUGUCAGGCUAGAGUGCAGGAGAGGAAGGUAGAAUUCCCGGUGUAGCGGUGACAUGCGUAGAGAUCGGGAGGAAUACCAGUGGCGAAGGCGGCCUUCUGGACUGACACUGACGCUGAGGUGCGAAAGCGUGGGUAGCAAACAGGAUUAGAUACCCGAGUAGUC
rnacentral:rRNA from 1 species